rnacentral:rRNA from 1 species
UACGUAGGUGACAAGCGUUGUCCGGGUUUACUGGGCGUAAAGAGCGCGCAGGCGGUCGAUCAAGUCGAGUGUGAAAGCCCCCGGCUCAACUGGGGAGGGUCAUUCGAUACUGAUCGACUCGAAGGCAGGAGAGGGUAGUGGAAUUCCCGGUGUAGUGGUGAAAUGCGUAGAUAUCGGGAGGAACACCCGUAGCGAAGGCGGCACUCUGGGCCGGAACUGACGCUGAGGAGCGAAAGCGUGGGGAGCAAACAGG